GGAAGUUUUCGGGUGACGCACUAAGAAUCGGGCUCCCUCCUCUCUGGUUCUGGGUGUGUCAUCUGAGAACUGCA
rfam:Myotis brandtii contig306007, whole genome shotgun sequence.